rnacentral:pre_miRNA from 1 species
GAUUUCAGCUGAAAAAGUCAUCAACAAUAAAGUUGUAUAACUCAUCAAGAUCUAUAACUUCUAUUUUGAUCAUUUCUUCAUCCGAUAAAGUGAUCGUAACAUAUUUUUAAAAUUUACAUAUCUCUCUAUGUACAUUUUGUGAACAAUGUUACAAAUCAUUUUGUCGGAUAAAGAAAUGAUCAAAAUAGAAGUUAUAGAUCUUGAUGAGUUAUACAAUUUUGUUGUUGAUGACUUUUUCAGUUGAAAUU